ACAAAGAGAGACUGAUAAGAAGAAGCCAGAAGGGUGGAAAGUUCCCUGAUAAUGAUAAGGGUGGCUUGGGGUUUAAGAGGAGUCGUACGUGUGUGAAGUAGCCACGAUGAGACUGGGAAUGGAAGUUGUUAAGGGUAAGACUAUCCAGGAUUCAUGAUGAGUUUCAGUCUGGUCUCCUCUAUCCUGACCUACACAAGCAUGGGAAAGCUGCUGAUGCCUGUGGGAUCCACACUUUUUCAUAGCCCACUUGAACCUCUAAGACCUUCUGGAUACUCAACAUGUUUUUGCUGAGCAUCUUGUCAGGGGAGUGUGUAAUUUCCUCGGUUCUGUCUUGUGGCAGCAACAAUUUACACAACGGAUGGACCAGUCCUACAGCUCAGUUUUAUCUAUCUGGCAAACAAAAGAAAAUACAACCCCGAGGCGUGAGGGCAGGCCGACCCACAAGAUGUGAAGAGAAGAGAGGCCAGAGGCCCAGUUUUGGCUCCUCUUUUUAUAUGUUUUCCCCCUGAGCCUGCCUAUGUAUCGGGCUAGCCAGGAAGGCUGUUUGUUUCACCUGAGGUUAUCACUCUGGUCCUCGGACCUUCCUUUGGUCUAUUUUCAUGGGUUUUUCCCUUCUUUGUCUUUUAACCAUCAUCAUUGUGGACUCCUUUUUCCUAUUCUAACUACCCAACAUUUCCCCCUCAAGAGA
ensembl:lncRNA